rfam:Stegodyphus mimosarum contig17727, whole genome shotgun sequence.
GUCAGGAUGGCCGAGCGGUCUAAGGCGCCAGACUCAAGGUUUCCUUCCCAGUGUGGCUGGGUUUGAGUGUUCUGGUCCACGAAUGUGGGCGUGGGUUCGAAUCCCACUUCUGACA